AGUGUGGUGAUUUUUCUGUGCAACAAUAACAGUGAACUUGGGUGACCAGCUUUCAUCAAGGAACUUGCAUGCCUGAUAAACACAGAGAAGGUU
rnacentral:sRNA from 1 species